CCAGAGAACUUAGCAGAGAUGCUUUGGUGCCUUCGGGAACUCUGAGACAGGUGCUGCAUGGCUGUCGUCAGCUCGUGUUGUGAAAUGUUGGGUUAAGUCCCGCAACGAGCGCGACCCCUAUCCUUUGUUGCCAGCGAUUCGGUCGGGAACUCAAAGGAGACUGCCGGUGAUAAACCGGAGGAAGGUGGGGAUGACGUCAAGUCAUCAUGGCCCUUACGAGUAGGGCUACACACGUGCUACAAUGGUGCAUACAAAGAGAAGCGACCUCGCGAGAGCAAGCGGACCUCAUAAAGUGCGUCGUAGUCCGGAUUGGAGUCUGCAACUCGACUCCAUGAAGUCGGAAUCGCUAGUAAUCGUAGAUCAGAAUGCUACGGUGAAUACGUUCCCGGGCCUUGUACACACCGCCCGUCACACCAUGGGAGUGGGUUGCAAAAGAAGUAGAUAGCUUAACCUUCGGGAGGGCGUUUACCACUUUGUGAUUCAUGACUGGGGUGAAGUCGUAACAAGGUAGGCGUAGCGAG
rnacentral:rRNA from 1 species